AGAAGUAUGCAAUAAUAACUUAUACGGUGCCUUAGUGUUCCCACAGAGAAUCUGUGACUUAAGCUAGGGAGUGACACUGUCUAAGACGCUACUUCU
rnacentral:sRNA from 1 species